GUCUCAAAACUGUUAAGAGUUAUUUUUUUUUUUAAAAUUCUGUAUCAUUGUGAGUCAUAACAUGUUUCAUAUUACUGUCUAAAUAUGUUUCUAUUAUUUCUUGGCCAUGCUUAUAGAAAUAUGUGACACAAGUGUUCAGGACGUUUGCAGAUCAUAACAAUGUUUCAAUCUGUUAUAAAUAGGUACUUAAAGUAACGUGUGAGUUUUGUCUAGUUCUAUAUUUAAGAAAUCUUCAUGAUUCUGUAAUGUAUUUGAAAAACAUGUUUUUGUGAUCAACUUCCAAUUAAGUGAAUCUCCUCUUGGAAUUUGGGGAUUUGAUGCUGUUGCUAGUGUGAGGUUCAUGUUAGACAUUCAACGGAAAUGCUAUCAUUCGUACAGUUUAUUACAGAAGUAUUCUCUGCAUAUGUCUUAACAAGCCAGUUGUACUACAUGUUCAAGAGAAAGGAGAAAUUUUUUGGAACAAAUUUUAACUUUGCUCUAAUUUAUUUUGUACAGCGAUAAUUAUGCAGGUGCCUCUAUUAUGAGUUUCUUCAACUUCAAAGCACACCUAAAAGGCCAUUUGUAUAUGAGUUGUCGAUGGUGGACAUUUUCUUUGCUUUGUUCUAGAUAAAAUGUUGAGUAAAUUUUCAGAAUCAUUUCAUUGACAAUCAAAAGUUUUUUGUUACUCAAGUUUUAAUAGAUGAGUAUCUAUGCAUUGGUCAGAUCAUCUGCUGUAAUUGUAUUCUGAUACUUGUGAUAUUUCUUCUAUCCGCUACAUACAUUUAUAAGGAUAAUUCUUAGAGUUUUUGAUGCUAAUUUGAAUUUGGGUUUGACAAGAAUACAGAAUACAUAAUGUGAAUGUGACAUGUUAAGAAACAAUCCUACCCAUUGAAAAGUAAAGCUGUGGUGCCUUCUUUUUCUCUCCAAUUUUAAUGAAUUAGGUUUUUGCCUUUCAUAAAUUAACAUAAGCUGGGCAAUUUUUUAAACAUAUUUUUUGUUUUGAUUUAUUAUCUACCGAUUACACACCUUUUUUAUUUUCUCUGUGUGUGAUAUAUUGAGUUUGGAAGUAAUUCUGUAAAUUAAAGGGGUAUUAUUUUGCACUUACGUCAAGUUGAUGGUUUAAACACACUGACAAAGAUUGCUGGUUACCUGAGAACUUGAUUUUUGGGCCAAGUUUUCUUGGUUUUAGUUUUUAAUUUUGUAGUCAUUGUAGUGUUAUCUUAUUGUUAUGUCAUAGACCUUGGAUUUUACCUCUUGACCAUGCACCUCCAUACUUAUGGAGUAUACUGGACUACAAGUAACAGUAUCUUUUAAUUCAGUAAAGGUAUUUUAAUUUAGAUAUGAUUAGUUUGCAUUGAGACUGUUAUGGGCAUGGAAUCGAUGUCAGCUACUUUGUAAUGAAGUAUUAUAUUAUCAUUCAGGCUUUGGCCAAUCAUUUUUUUAUUUUAUUUUUCUUUGAUAAGUAAUUGAACCAGAAAAAAUAAUUUAACAUACUAAAGAUUAAUAGAUCAUCCUUUGACUUUGCUUGGUCGUUAUCCUUGGUGAAACAUAAAUCAAUUGUUGAGUUUCUUAGCUUGACAUAGUCUCAAUAUUCUGCUUGCACUGUUUGCAGUUCUGGGUUCUUGUGUGCCAUGUAUGAUUACCUAUAUGUGAUUUCAUGUAUGAUUUCAUUCCCUAAUCUGAAAAGUCUGGAGACAGGAAAGAAAUCGGGAAUGUACUUAUUUAUUGUGGGUGAUAAUAUUUUCCUUGUAAAUUGGGAGCAGUCCUGUUUUUUUUAUGUUUUUGUUUUUGUUUUCCCAAGGAAAAAUAAUUUACAAUGCUGUAUUAAUUUGGGGGUAUAGUGAAAGUCAUUUUUGUAAAACUAUUGCUAAGGAAAAGUUUGUCGUCUUAAACCAGUAUAUCUUAUACAGUUUGUUUCCAAUAUCCUCUAUGCAAGCAUGUUGUGUGUUGUUUUUUUGUUUUUCAGUGUGUCUCAGUGACAAAAUAUCUUGGUAAAACAUCUAUCUAUCUACAGUUUGUCUUGUUGGUCCUUCAGGAGGGUUGUCAGAUUUCAAUUCAGUAGAAAAGGUUAAAUGUGAACUUAAAAAUAUAGUUGUUGGAAGCAAGACAAUAUUAAGCAUGUUACCUACUAGGUAACUUCAACUUUUUGUAAACAUUUCCUUCAGAUGGAGUCUCUAAGCUGCUCUCCUCUUACGCCAAAAAAAAAAAAAAAAAAAAAAAAAGGAUAUGAUAAUAAAAGAGUGGGACAUUACUGUGUAGCUGCUUGCUGCUCUAGUCCUGAUGUGAUUCUUCCCCACAGCCAUCUUGUGAUUUGGAUUCAUAAAUGUUUUUUGUUUUAUGGGAACCUAUGUUUAUCCAUCUAAUAAAUAUUCUUAGAAUGAUUGUUUGAUAUCUGUCAAAAUUAAUAACGCCUAGUGCUGUGUAGAGUCUUUUUGUUGUUUCUUAUCUCCAUGUGCUCUGGCUCUGCACUGCCGAUCCAGCUUGUUGAAUAAUUAAUUAAGGGAAUCAUUCCAAGUGUUGUGGUCACCAUCAAUCCGUAACGUAGGUGCUGAAACGUUCUAUGAAGACGGAAUGUUUAAUCAUCAACAAUCCAUUCAACAGUGGCAUGAGGAUCUCCAGCCUAUUUUCAACUCGCGUCCUUCUCACGAUUCAACUAGCAGUCAGUUUCCUUGUCCAACAUGCGGGAAAGUGUAUCUACGCAGCAGAUCGUUGUGGAGACACAGAAAUUACGAAUGUGGCAAGGAACCUCAAUUUCAAUGCCCAUACUGCAACCAUCAAACAAAACAAAAAGGCAGUCUUAAAAUUCACAUUUUGCGAAUGCACUCUCUUAAGCAAUCAACUAAAAGAGAUCGAAACUUACCUUCUGAAACCGCUGUAUCUGCUGCCUCUAAACUGGGUGGUAGCUUCUGAUUGUAAAAUACCUUCCUGACAAUUCAAACUAACACAAUUGUUCUAAGUAAUAUUCUCUGUGACUGUGAAUUUGAGAGAUUGAAAUUUGUAAACAUAGUCUAAUAUAUCAGUCUAUCAUGACAAGUUCUGCAAUGAAGAGUUUUCAAUUUGCCUUCGCCAUGUUGUUAAAAGAAAAUUUCACUUUUUUUAAACAGACAUUUAGUUUACAGUUAGCUAUACUCUUUAUGUAUAAUAUCUUAACAUAAUUAGUUCACUUGUUAAAAACGAGUUUCAAGACACACACAUUAACAUGUCCAGAGCAAGACCAAACAAGCCAUCCUCUGCAAAAUGUGGACAAUUCUACUGCCCUGAAUGUGGGAAAACAUUUGGAGACUACCAUCUGUUAUGGAACCAUCUGGAUUUUCUCUGCAACAAGCUAAAUGAUUUCCAGUGUUCCUAAAUGAUAUGGUGAAUUGAAAUAACUUCCCACUUCUUACAUCCUAUUUUUCUAGAAAAUGUUUGUUUUACAUGUAGUAUACACUAUUGAAAUUCUGCAUUUGGGUCCUAUGUGGCUCCAACAAAUCAAUGAAUAUUUGGAAAAAUUCUUUUCAGUUGUCAUACAGUUAAUUUCACCAGUUUUUAAACUGGUUCAAUUCUUUUUAUUGUUCUUUAUCCCUCUGUUCUCUAUUCAUAUUGUCCUCCAAUUUAAUCUACAAAUAUAUGAUUAACUUACAUUGUCUUAAUCUUUCCC